CGCGUAGGUGGAUCAGUUAGUCUGCUGUGAAAGUCAAAGGCUCAACCUUUGAAAGCCGGUGGAUACUGUUGAUCUAGAGUACGGAAGAGGCGAGUGGAACUCCUGGUGUAGCGGUGGAAUGCGCAGAUAUCAGGAAGAACACCAAUAGCGAAGGCAGCUCGCUGGGACGUUACUGACACUGAGGCGCGAAAGCGUGGGGAGCAAACAGGAUUAGAUACCCUGGUAGUC
rnacentral:rRNA from 1 species